UUUCAAAAAAAAUAAUAAUAAAUAAAAAAACUAAAAUUGUAAACAAAUACAAUCGAUAUACAUAUCGGCUUUGUAAAUUGGGUUUUUUUUUCCGAUAGUUAAAGCGAAGCUUUUACUUCGGGAGUUGCCAAAUUGUUAAGGCGCGGGAUCAGCUGCAGCAGGGAGGCUUAGGAAAGCUGCAAUAUCAGCUGUUCUGCAUUUCCGGUAACCUAAAUGGAAUGUAGGUUGUUCCAUGCUCGGUCUUUUCUAUCGAAACCCCCCAGAAGUGCAGACGCCCAAAUAAUAUCUCUCUGCAAGUAUAAAUUUUAUCAGCGCAAGAUCAGCGCAAGUGCAAAGUGUUUAUUUUUUUUUUUUAUCAAAUACCGAGUAAGUUGCAGAUCAUGCGUAUGUUUUUUUUUUAUUUACAUGCAUACGCUUAUCUAGAUUUGCAACGGUGAUAAGGGCAGCCUAAGCCUGUGUUUGUGGGUUUUUUUUUUCUUUUGUGUGUCGCGGCUUUAUGAAAGCGCGACCUCGUUGCUGUCUUAUCAAAAUUUAUCAGGUGAAUAUAAAAUUUAUAUUUGUAAUAACUCCAGGGUACUUAUUGUGGCCGUUUUAAAGUUUCGUUGCGGUCCACACCAAAACACCCCGGGAGCGCUCCUGGUGGAGGCUCCCAGUUCAGGAGCGGCUUAACCUCGAUCGGGCUUUUAGUGAAGUGAAGAAAACGGAAUUGGAAAAUAUGAAGAUAAUAUUUAUUUUUUAAACUUUCGCGAACAAAAAUGGUUGUCAGUUUAUUUUUAAAUCGUUUAAUUUUAAUCCUCGUGCGGAAACAAGUUUGUUUUAAAAUUCUACGGUGUACAAAGCCCUCAUUACACUCAUUUACAGCAACCCAAAGCAGAGAUCGAUCUUUCGCCGAUGGAUUUACAGCUUUUAGUGAAGUGAAGAAAACGGAAUUGGAAAAUAUGAAGAUAAUAUUUAUUUUUUAAACUUUCGCGAACAAAAAUGGUUGUCAGUUUAUUUUUAAAUCGUUUAAUUUUAAUCCUCGUGCGGAAACAAGUUUGUUUUAAAAUUCUACGGUGUACAAAGCCCUCAUUACACUCAUUUACAGCAACCCAAAGCAGAGAUCGAUCUUUCGCCGAUGGAUUUACAGUGAGUGGUGUAUUUACUUUUUUACAUAUACACUGGGAAAAAUUUUUCGAGUCCCACCGAAUUUUAAUUCUAUAAUUUAAUGCAUUCAUCCUUCAUCUUAACCCAAACAAAAAUAACAAGAGCACGAAUUUCAUUUAAAUGAUUUAAUUGAUGACUAACGAAUACUCUAUCCGAAUGAAUUUUAAAUAUUAUCAUUUUUCU